GAGCAUGUAGUUCAGUGGUAGAACGCUGUCCUGAUAAGACAGAGGUCGAUGGUCCGAUUCCAUCCAUGCUCA
rnacentral:tRNA from 1 species